rnacentral:lncRNA from 10 species
CUUGAAUCAACUAAUCAUUGUACCAAAAACAAUUAGAAACUCUGAGGCAAAAUGUUGUUUCAAAAGAUUGCUGUUUGAAGUCUUGUCCAGCAUGUAAGGAGCUCAGAAGUUAUCACUCCCAUUCUCACACAAGAAAAAGUCUGACCAAACUGUAAAUCAACAACUCUUUCCAUAUCCACCAGGAAAUUGAAGUCACUGAUUCCCCGCAAAAUUGAAAAGACAGACAGGUAGAUACAUAGAAUCAGAACUCAAUGAAGCAGAAGCCAGGAAACAGAAGUCUCCAUGGGAACCAGUACUGAAGAAAGAAAUUCUAAAAUGUAAUUGACAAAUUGCUGGAGGCUCAGUGUGGACAAAUCUGAGAGUUAAAAACUCUGGGAGAAUCAACUAUCCAGUGUUCAGUCACUUCCUUUGAAAGGCUACUACAUCAUGGUGACUUGAUCCAAACAUCGAAGUUAACAUUCCAUCACCUAAACUAUACUGAAGGCUGGAGGGAGGGGAAGCCAACAGAGGAGAGGUCAGAAGAGAAGGAAAUCUAUAAUGGUCAGAAGAGGAAAUUAAUAGACAUGGUCUAAGAUUGAUAAAUCAAGAAAUCAUCAUAGAUGAAGGUGAAUGCCAAGAAAAACAAGCCCCAGAGAUGAAAGCAACUGUCUCUGAAGUGAAACUGGAGGCUGGAAGGGGAAGGGAGGGAACUGAAGUUUUUCAUCCUAAGCUUUUUAAUUCUAUGACUGUUUUCCUCCAUAUGUGUGUGUGACUUUGAGACACAUUAUUUACUUU